UUUUGCUUUUCAUCACCUGCAAGAUGUACAUAAAAAUCACAUAAGCUGGAAUUCAACAAAAGACCUCUGACUAUGUGAAGAUACGGUGGGAAGAUGACUGACCGCAAGACAGGAAGAGAGCCCUCACCGAGGAACCAAAUUGGCCAGUAUCUUGAUUUUGGAUUUCUCAACCUCAAGAACCAUGAGAAAUGAAUGUCUGCUGUUCAAGCCACCCAGUCAAUGAAAAAGUUUGGAAACCUUCAUCUAGAAAGUGGUCUAGCAAAGUGUGGUCCAUGGAUGAGUUUGAUCUGCAAACUGCUUGUUAUUGGUUCAUGACAAGGUCUACCAAUUGCAUUUUGAGAGCUCAGAUAAGCAGAGAGCAAUGCAAUUUGUCACAGAAGGAUGAUUAUGUAUAUGCACUGUCAUGUGUAUGUAUGUGUAUGUAUAUACGCUAUUUCCAUGCCUAACUCAAAGGAGACACAAGGAGAAAGUGAGCUCAGCCUGGAUAAAUUGGAGAUUGUGAUGACUUCUAGGAAGCCUCAGGAAAGAGAAACAAAGACAACACUGGCCUGCUGCUCUCUGCAAUGGUGGGACCCUUGUGGGAUAACUGUUUUAGGAAUGAAGGUGUCUACCCUCUCUAGAAAUGAAAAUGCAAGUUUGGCUGUGGUUAAGUAUUGGAUGGAGGCAAAAAGAAACUGACAUAUUUUCUUCUUUUCAAUUGUUUGAUUCACCCUGAAGGGCAUGGCUGCUUAAUUUUUUUCUCCAGAGAUAGGUGGACAGAUAAAGACAGGAAAGUAACAUCCACAGACUGCCCUCUGUGAAGGUGACAGUGAUGAAAGGAAUGCUUGAUCUGAACACUGGUAAAUAAAGUGACCGCAUAUUUCCCUAGCCAGGAGAGCAAUCUGGCUCAAAAGAAACGAGAACAAUGACAUUACUGCCAGGCUGCUCCUAAGCCUUUGGCUAUUCUGUUCAGUGCACAAAAAAAAGCAGUGAACAUAGCUGUGACCUGCCUUGUUGGUAGUAUCACAAUUCUUUGGGGCUCCACUUUAAGAAAUUGAGACCUACCUACCUUAAUCCUUGGGGGGUUAAGCUUUCAGACUGGAAUGAUAACUGAACUAUUCAUUUGCAGUAAUUCUGGGUUUUGUGCAUAUUUUAAAAAGGAAUACCGGGCUUGCCUAUAUUCAUUACAACGUCCUCCCAGCUUUCAAAUCUUCCAAUACAAUGCCUCUUCUCUAGUCUUUUAAGCACAUCCUGUGACUGGAUAUGAUUAUGGGAGAUUUACAUGCAUCCUUGUCUAUUGUAUCAAAAGAUCAGGGAAUAAAAUGCCCAUCAUUAAAACCCCAAAGUGAUUGGAUUGGCAUGAGGAAUGGG
rnacentral:lncRNA from 1 species